CCUACGGGAGGCAGCAGUGGGGAAUCUUGCGCAAUGGGCGAAAGCCUGACGCAGCCAUGCCGCGUGAAUGAUGAAGGUCUUAGGAUUGUAAAAUUCUUUCACCGAGGACGAUAAUGACGGUACUCGGAGAAGAAGCCCCGGCUAACUUCGUGCCAGCAGCCGCGGUAAUACGAAGGGGGCUAGCGUUGCUCGGAAUUACUGGGCGUAAAGGGAGCGUAGGCGGAUAGUUUAGUCAGAGGUGAAAGCCCAGGGCUCAACCUUGGAAUUGCCUUUGAUACUGGCUAUCUUGAGUACGGAAGAGGUAUGUGGAACUCCGAGUGUAGAGGUGAAAUUCGUAGAUAUUCGGAAGAACACCAGUGGCGAAGGCGACAUACUGGUCCGUUACUGACGCUGAGGCUCGAAAGCGUGGGGAGCAAACAGGAUUAGAUACCCUGGUAGUCCACGCUGUAAACGAUGAGUGCUAGUUGUCGGCAUGCAUGCAUGUCGGUGACGCAGCUAACGCAUUAAGCACUCCGCCUGGGGAGUACGGUCGCAAGNUUAAAACGUCAAAGGAAUUGACGG
rnacentral:rRNA from 1 species